AUUGAACGCUGGCGGCAUGCUUUACACAUGCAAGUCGAACGGCAGCACGGGUGCUUGCACCUGGUGGCGAGUGGCGGACGGGUGAGUAAUGCAUCGGAACGUGUCUUAAAGUGGGGGAUAACGCAUCGAAAGAUGUGCUAAUACCGCAUAUUCUCUGAGGAGGAAAGUAGGGGAUCGAAAGACCUUAUGCUUUUGGAGCGGCCGAUGUCUGAUUAGCUAGUUGGUAGGGUAAUGGCUUACCAAGGCGACGAUCAGUAGUUGGUCUGAGAGGACGACCAGCCACACUGGGACUGAGACACGGCCCAGACUCCUACGGGAGGCAGCAGUGGGGAAUUUUGGACAAUGGGCGCAAGCCUGAUCCAGCAAUGCCGCGUGAGUGAAGAAGGCCUUC
rnacentral:rRNA from 1 species